rnacentral:rRNA from 1 species
CACGUAGGGUGCGAGCGUUGUCCGGAAUUAUUGGGCGUAAAGAGCUCGUAGGCGGUGUGUCGCGUCGGCCGUGAAAACCUGCAGCUUAACUGUGGGCGUGCGGUCGAUACGGGCAUCACUGGAGUUCGGCAGGGGAGACUGGAAUUCCUGGUGUAGCGGUGAAAUGCGCAGAUAUCAGGAGGAACACCGGUGGCGAAAGCGGCUCUCUGGGACGGUACUGACGCUGAGACGCGAAAGCGUGGGGAGCGAACAGG